rnacentral:misc_RNA from 1 species
GGAAGGAUCAUUCUUAUGCACAAAAAGUCUACACGACAGUGUUUGAUCUUUUUUGCUCAAAUUAAAUUGCAUAGUCGAUGUAACACAUAUAGAUUUACACGUUUUGUUAAACGAAACGGAUAUAACCCAUGCACUCACAAGUUCAUAUUAUUUCCGUGGAUUAAUCUUAUUUAGCAAUCAAUGGUCUUGUUAUACAGAAACGUUAGUAAAUUAAAGAGUUUUGACAGUGGAUACCUCGGCUUCUAUGACGAUGAAGAACGCAGCGAAACGCGAUAUUUAAUGCGAAUUGCAGAAUUCAGUGAAUCAUCAAAACUUCGAACGCAGUUUGCAAUCAUUGGUUAGGCCUUUGAUUGUGCCUUCUUGACACUCACCCAACACACAAAUUCAACAUUGUCCGUGACAAUAUCAGAUUUGUACUAACACAAAGGGUCAAGCAACCGUUUGCUCACCUUGUAAGAAUAUACUGUCAGAUUUGGUAUUUGAGUCUUUUAAGAAUUCAACUGCAAUCUAAAUUAACAAGAGUUGAAAUCAAAGGGGACCUCAAAGUUUGUUUGAUUACCUCCUGUUGAUUUAGUUUAUUCAGGUUGAGAUUCAGACUCGAACCAAUUCAUAGGCUUACAUAGCUAUGCAAAAUAUAAAUCUUUUGUGUGUCAAGUGAGGCACGGUUACCCGCUGGAUUUAAGCAUAUAAAUAAGCGGAGGAAUGAAAACUAAACAGGAUUCUCUUAGUAACGGCGAGUGAACAGAGAAGAGCUCAAGCAGUUAAUCUCACUGAUUAAAUCAGUGCGAGUUGUGGCUUGUGGAAGCUUAUCCAGAGUGCGGCCCAGGUUAGAGUCCUUUGGAAUAAGGCACCGUUGAGGGUGAUAGUCCCGUUAACAACUUGGAGUUCGCCUUGUACGGAUAGCUUUCUGAGAGUCGGAUUGCUUGGAAGUGCAAUCUUAACGGGAGGUAAAUUCCUUCCAAAGCUCAAUACUCGUAGAAAUCCGAUAGCGCACAAGUACCGCGAGGGAAAUGUGAAAAGAACUCUGAAAAGAGAGUUAAAAGUAUUUGAAACUGUCAAAGAAAAGGGAUAAAAUCUAUUGGAAGUGGAGAAUCAUUACGUUUGGAAGCAAUCCGAACAUUUUUGGAAUGAAUUUCAUAAUGUUUCUUUGCGAUCGAACGUUUAAUGUUUAUCCUGGUACUUGAGUUUGUUAGAGUUGUGCGAGUAGUCAAUCAAGGUGGUAAGCGUGUGAUUGCUUGCAUGAUCCCCGACAACUUGUAAUUACAACUUGCAACACUGUCAUACCCAAUGUACAAAUGGAUUUUCUCCGCCCGUCUUGAAACACGGACCAAGGAGUGUAACGCUUAUGCUAGUAUUUGAGAUUGCAUUCUCAAUUGCGUAAUGAAAGUGAAGGAAAAGUUUUACUUUUCUGAGAUGUCAAUCUGUUUUGCAGCUGCAGCAUCGCCCGGCUUUCUCUUUUGUAGAAGGUACGAGUCACAGCAUAAUCGAUACGACCCGAAAGAUGGUGAGCUAUACCUGCGCAGGGUGAAGCCAGGGGAAACUCUGGUGGAAGCUCGUAGCGUUACUGACGUGCAAAUCGUUCGUCUGACGUGGGUAUAGGGGCGAAAGACCUAUCGAACCAUCUAGUAGCUGGUUCCCUC